CGCCUCCAUAUAUUCGGGCCUCGCCGCACCCCCGUCAAAUCCACGCGAACAUCGCCACGCCAAGGGAGAGGAGAGCUCGGAAAGCAUCGCCAGCGCCGCAGCCCCCCGCGAAUCCGCGCCCGGAUCUCCCGGCCCGGCGGCGAUGGCGCUCUCCGACCUCUCCCGCGACUCGCUCCUCCCCAGCUUCCUCUACUCCCCGCGCUCCUUCGCCGCCGCCGCCUCCCCGCGCUUCCCCUCCUCCCCGUCGCCCUACCAGGCGCCCGCCUCGCCCGCCGCGGCCCCGGCUGCUGGCCUCGUCGGCGCUGGCGGGGUCGGGGGCGGCAGGCCCUUCUCGAUCCGCGCGCCCAACGAGAAGAUAGAGAUGUACUCUCCCGCCUUCUACGCCGCCUGCACCGCCGGGGGGAUCGCCAGCUGCGGGCUCACCCACAUGGCCGUCACCCCGCUCGACCUCGUCAAGUGCAACAUGCAGAUUGACCCGGCGAAAUACAAGAGCAUCUCAUCUGGAUUUGGUGUUCUGUUAAAGGAGCAAGGAGCUAGGGGAUUCUUCAGGGGAUGGGUGCCUACCUUGCUUGGUUACAGUGCUCAGGGGGCUUGCAAGUUUGGGUUCUACGAGUUCUUUAAGAAGACCUACUCAGAUAUGGCUGGGCCUGAGAAUGCUGUGAAGUACAAGACCCUGAUUUACCUUGCAGGGUCAGCUUCUGCUGAGGUAAUUGCUGAUAUUGCUCUGUGCCCCUUUGAAGCUGUCAAGGUCCGUGUGCAGACACAGCCUGGAUUUGCUCGUGGGUUGAGUGAUGGGCUUCCCAAGUUCAUCAAAGCUGAGGGUGCUGCUGGGCUCUACAAGGGCAUUGUUCCGCUCUGGGGUCGCCAGAUUCCUUACACCAUGAUGAAGUUUGCUUCCUUUGAGACCAUUGUUGAGCUUAUCUACAAACACGCUGUUCCUGUUCCCAAGGCCGAGUGCAGCAAGUCUUCCCAGUUGGGUAUCAGCUUUGCUGGUGGCUACAUUGCUGGUGUCUUCUGUGCUAUUGUUUCUCACCCGGCUGACAACCUGGUCUCUUUCCUCAACAAUGCCAAGGGUGCUACAGUGGGUGAUGCUGUUAAGAAGAUUGGCAUGUUGGGCCUUUUCACCAGAGGACUUCCCCUUCGCAUCGUCAUGAUCGGUACUCUUACCGGUGCUCAGUGGGGAAUCUAUGACGCCUUCAAGGUCAUGGUGGGACUCCCGACCACCGGCGGUGCUCCACCAGUUGCUCCGGUAGAGGAAGCAGCGAAAGCCAUCGCUUGAUUGAUUUUUCCUACUAUGACGAUGACGAUGUAUUCCGGGAUGAUGGGGUAUUGGUGGAUGGGGACUGUAUCAAUUACUUGAGUUUAGCACCCGAAAUCUUUUGUUAUUGUAGCAGAUGGUUAUUGUGUCAUCAUUUUGAUGAGAGGAACUCAUUAAGCAGGCGAAAUAGGCCUUUUUUUGUCCCCGGGAAGUUUGAUGCUUGACAUAAUAAGUUUUAGGACAGCAAGGCUGUUAGAGCGCAGGUUUUGCCAUCACCUGUACUGAGGAAUUCCCAUAUUAUACUCCUGUUUACCUCCAAUUCUAUGCUGUUGAUAUCGUGGCAUGUUCGUUUCUGAACGGGUAGAACGUUUAUUGUUUUACUAGUAGUAGUAGUUAUCUUCUCUUCGUGCUUGCAAAAUCAUUCCUUGGUCUUCUGAGAUAAGUCAUGCAGUACUAUUGUUUUGUUCGGGCAAACAGGUAGACAGAGUAUUAGGCUGG
rnacentral:rRNA from 1 species